AGAGCAUCAAAGCAGGAUAGCAUCCUGUGGGCAGCCCAGGGCAGGACCAGCGGGUACAAGGCGGCAGCGAGGAGCUGUGUGGAAGAACCACUCGUCUGCAAGUGCAGCAGAUACUGAACUCGACUGUUUUGCUCUCCGCUGGUGAUCGUGGAGGUCCCAAAGAACACCAAAAAGCCAAAGAAGCCUUAACCUAAAGUUGCUGCCACAUUGUUUUCUACUUUGGCAUGUCUGAUGCCAUAUUAGAAAAUAUUUUAAAUGGGUUUAAAUGUGAGGAAUUGAAGGAAUGUCGAAUUGUGCUAGAUUGUUAGGAGUGUAUGUAUCAUUCUUGAUCCAAUCCUGCACAGAUCCUGUUUGAUCUGUUUAGUGUUGAACAAUUGCAUUUUAUUUGUGUGUUUGUGUGAAAUUUUAAUAAUAAAUGUACAGUUUUGUGUUG
ensembl:lncRNA